GGCGCUAUAGUGUAGUGGCAUCACAUGGGAUUCUGAUUUCAGGUAGCAAAUAAGUAUUCCCAUAACCCAGGUUCGACCCCUGGUAGUGCCU